rnacentral:rRNA from 1 species
AAUGACUCUCGACAACGGAUAUCUCGGCUCUCGCAUCGAUGAAGAACGUAGCGAAAUGCGAUACUUGGUGUGAAUUGCAGAAUCCCGUGAACCAUCGAGUCUUUGAACGCAAGUUGCGCCCGAAGCCACUAGGUUGAGGGCACGUCUGCCUGGGUGUCACG